rnacentral:lncRNA from 1 species
UCAAUAUUAUCAAUAUUAAGAUCAACAAACAAUAACAGAUUAUUUCACUUAAUUGUAGCCCUCCUUUGAGUUAUUAAUAUUCCAAUGUAAUAGACGAGAAAAGUAUAGUUCAGAGAGGUUAAGUGACUUGGCCAAAGUCAUACAACUAAUAAAUGACCAGUUCCUAUAACUGACUAGCUAUCAUUCCAUUAUACUAUAACUCUCAGAGAGUUAUUUGGAAGAGAUCUUUAAACAGUAACAAACCAGGUGAUGGAAAAACUUAAUAAUUUAUUAUAGGUGCAAUAUAAAUAUUUGUCAACAUUCCAUGCUGUUUCUUUCCAAAAUAUGAAGUCAAAUAGAUGGGCAUAUUUUCAUUUAAGUAUGAUUUAAUUAAAUCAGACUAAAUUUAAUCUUGAACAAUGGUCUAUGUAUUUACAAAUGUUUCAGAAUGUGAAGACACAAAAAGAAUAUCUAUUAAUUUAAAGACAUGAGGAUCACAUUUUUAAACGUUUAAUUUCCUCACAAAGCAGUAUUACUACAUUCUUUAUCUUCUUCCUCUCUCACACCCCUCUUCAACCAGACACCCAUCUACCAUUACUCAAGCCACCACCUGUGUUGUUUAGCUCUGCACUUAACCUUCCCCCACUGUAGAGGACAAUGGUCUUAGUGCAUACAAGCUGAUUGCAAAUAUUAUACUGCUUCAAAUCCAAAGUAAUGUGUGAGAUGGACAUGAAAACUUCAAAAUUGUUCCCCCACCCCCCCAACCCCCGCAGAACACACGGACAAAUGUGGUUAGCAGGGUCUAUCUUGUUCUCUGAUCACUAACUUCAACAAAGAGGAAGUCCAAAGAGUGCAACUGCCAAUGGUAAAAGGAACCCUUUACAAGAAAAAGGAAAGGAAAGGAAACUUCCUUUGUGCAUAACAGUAUAGCCAUUUUUAACAAUGGAAAACAGCCUGGGCUACUACUUCUCAUGCUUCAACUUAGGAAACGUUUUUAGGUGAAGACUGAUUCUGGACCAAAACUUCUUGAACAUCCUAAGCUGACUCAGUUGUCCCUUUUCUUUGAUUCUGACUUCCCACCCUCCAUCAUGCUCCUGCUCAGCUAAAUCUUUCCAGCCUUACCUGUUGUUCUAACCACAGACCUAGGCUCUCUGCCUUCUGCCUCACUCUUAUCCAUCCCAUACUGACUCCUCUCCUUCCUAAGGCAAAAAAAAAAAAAAAAAGACUUCUUCAAAUCUACUCUCCCGUAGUAGAUCUGCCUCCCACUACACUCUCAUAAACUCAAGUUGAAGCUUCUGUCACAGAUUCACAGAUUCCUUCAACCUUCUGGGGCAUGGAAUGUAGCCUGCGCCACCAGCCAGCUCAGUCUCUUCCUGUUUUGGAUUCUCCUCUCAGGCCCGCAUCUUCCCAGCAUCUUCUCUCCUCCCGUGCCCGCUCAGACCAUCCUCUAAAUGUCCUCAAUUCUCAGACACACAUCUCCGCCCCUUUCAGGCUCACGGCCCCUCAGAAGUCCUCUCCUCUCAGAUCCACUGCUCUUUCUUCCUCUGAUGCCUUUGCUUCCCAGACCCACAACGCCCCUCAGACCCAC